GACAGAGGCCUCAAGCGUUAGGCGGAAUCACUGGGCUUAAAGCGUGUGUAGGCGGAUCGUUAAGUGCCUCGUGAAAUCCCACGGCUCACCCGUGGAACUGCCGGGCAUACUGGCGAUCUUGGGCCAUUCAGGGGCGACUGGAACAAGCGGUGGAGCGGUGAAAUGCGUAGAUAUCGCUUGGAACGCCGAAGGUGAAAACAGGUCGCUGGGAAUGUGCCGACGCUGAGACACGAAAGCCAGGGGAGCGAACGGG
rnacentral:rRNA from 1 species